UACCCCUGUGCCGAGCUGCUGCGGUGCUCCCACUGGGGUCUGUCCGUCCGUCCGGAUCCCACCCACAUCCCUUACAGCAUCCCCCAGCCUGAGACCCCACUGACGGGGUUUUUUGGGGCAGAUGGGAGGCCAAGUCCAAGGGUGUUCCCAUAUGGGCCCCCUCUCCUAGGGCAGGUGCUCUCUGGCACCCGCAUCCCGGGAUGCUCCUGGCUUGCCGCAGAGCUGGUGGCAUCCUUUUGGGCGGUGGUUGAAGACCAGAGGGUCCUCAGCAGCACCCUGAGGACACACGGCUGGCGAGGCUGCGCUGCUCUCACUGCUGCUCAUCGGGGGUGCUGGGGAGCCGGAGGGGUGAGUGUGGGUGUGGGUGUGAGUGUGCACGAGUGUGUGCAUACACGGGUGCAUGCAGAGGUAGACACAUGCAUGGCUGCAUGCAGAGGUGUGUCUGUGCGCAGGUGGGUACAUGCAGAGGUAGACGCAUGCACAGAUGCAUGCAGAGGUGAAUGUAUGCACAAGUGAGUGCAUGCAGAGGUAGAUGCAUGCAUGGGUGCAUGCAGAGGUGUGUGUGUGCAUGGGUGAGUGCAUGCAGAGGUAGAUGCAUGCAUGGGUGCAUGCAGAGGUGUGUGUGUGCAUGGGUGAGUGCAUGCAGAGGUGUGUAUGUGCAUGGGUGAGUGCAUGCAGAGGUAGAUGCAUACAUGGGUGCAUGCAGAGAUGAAUGUGUGCAAGGGUGAGUGCAUGCAGAAGUAGACGCAUGCAUGGGUGCAUGCAGAGGUGGAUGUAUGCACUGGUGAAUGCAUGCAGAGAUGUGUGCACACACAGGUGCUCAGGGGUGUCUGUGUGUACAUGGGGGUGUGCACGCAAGCCCGAUGGGCUGGUGUUUAAAUCAAGGCCCUUCCAUGUGCUGGCGGAGCCGCCCCAGCCGGCUGGUGGGACCCCCGCAAUGCUGCCCCUUCCCCAGUGACAUGUUUCCCUGUUGCUGAGCUGCUCCAUCCCCAGGUUGAACCGGGGCCUUUUCCUUCAUCCCAGAGGCACCACCACUCCCCAGUUCCCUCUGGUCCCCCCAGCCAAGCUCGGGUGCUCCCUGGCACUGCUUUCUGGGGUUGCCUUUCCCCAGAGCGAGAUGCACAGGAUUCGGGGUACCCGGGAGCAUCAUUCUGGGCUCAGCAUCUCCCGUGGGAGGGGACAUGCUUCUUUUUCCAGGCUCCAAGCACAGCGGGGAUGGCAGAAAGCAAGUCCCGGGUAAAUAUCUCCCGGCGGGUGCGUGCGGGGAUGCUGCCUUCAGAGGAUUUACAGCUUCAAAGCCUCGGCCUCAAAGCCUGCAAAUAUCUUUUCAUCAUUUCAGCCGCGGUCUAAUUACCCGGCUGGCCGCCGGCGCUGGCUGGCUCUUCCAGGUACGGCCUCCCCUUAAUAGCUGGGAUUUAUUAUUUAAAUGUCAAUUUUCAGCUCUCGUUUCCCGUUCAGGCUUGAAGGGCGCCUGUGGGGUGCAGGGGAUUUACACCCAAAAAUCUGAGCACCCUGAACUGCAGGCACCUGAUGUUCAUGCUCUCAGCCGUGCUGAGUUAUUAAUUAAAGGCAAGGUAUCAUUCCCCGCUUCAUCUGGGGUGUAAUUAGAUUGCCGGGAUGCCGGGAAGCGGCGCUGGUUAAUGCUUUGCCAAGGGGGAGAUGAAGGGAACCGGAGACAUCCCAGCCGAACCGCUACAUCCCACCGCGGAUGCAAAAUUUGGGGGGUUUCUGCUCCACCAAGGCACCAGCUCCCACUCGGAGGGCUGGUGAGCAUUGGUGCCAGCCAGUUGUGUGCGUUGGCACCGAGCUCCGGUACCGGUGAUUUACCAUAGACACGGACCCCGCCAAGCCUGGGUCGGUGCUGUGAUGGAUGUGGGGAGCAGCCCCAGCCGCCAGCUCCCGUUAAUUAUUUGCUUUGGAUUGAUGAGAAAUUACAACCCCCACUAAGGAUGGCGGUCGGCUCACCUCGGUUUCGGUGACGCCAGGGUCAGCGCUGGCUGUGACACUUUUUGGAGGGGCCGCCUUUCCCCGCAGCCGCCUCAGCCAGGAGGAUAAUUUAUGGUUUCGUAUCAGCGCCGCUAUCUUGGAGCCUUUCCAGCCUCCUCUUCCCUCUCCCUGCACCGCUUUUCCUCGAAAGCCGCCUUCCCAGGCCGGGAUCCAGCUCCUCACCAGCUCCCCAGGAUCCUGCUGCCCUUCGGGGAAACCUGGGUCCAGGUUGUGAUGAACCCACGUGUGUGCGGAGCUGUGCCAGGGCUCAGCACGGCUCUGGCACCGGCUGAGCCAGUUCCUGCUCCCAUUAAGGAUGCUCUGGUGCUCCAGGCACAGGACAGCCCUGUGCCCAUGGUAUAGGACCCGCCUUCCAGCCCCCAGAGCCCACUGGGGACACAUAUCCACUCCGGAGCCCCAUAGGAACCCCAGCACCCACGUGCCGAGUGUGACUUUAAGGUGCCAAAUUGCCAUUUGGUAAUUAGAAGACCCUGUGGAAGUGGAGUGUGGUGUCUGGAGGGUCGGCCACCCGCAGUGGUGUCCCAGCAGCCAGGCAAACAGCCCCAGUGCCACCAGUGCGGGGGAGAUUUCGGUGGAUUUGGGUGUUUUCGCGGUGGCUGUGUCCUUGGGGAGCUCUUUGCAGCUGGAGGAAAAGAGAGGAGAGGCAGAGAUGGGAGCAGGAGGCUAAAACAGGCAGAGCCACAGGGAUGCAACACCAGUGCCCAGAGGCCACGGUGAUGGGCAGGGGACACGGGAGGGAGCGCGGUGACAACCACGGCACCGGCAGGGUUAAGGCGAGUAGCCACAGGCAGAGCCCUGCCAGGGGGAUUAGCCACGUCCCUCCGGUGCUGGCAAUUCCCUGCCUUGUCCAUCGAUCCCUGCGAGGUGUUAAGAGAAGCUGGAGCAUCGAUCGGAGCAAAGCCCUGGGCGGCAGUGAGGCCAAAGGCUUCCCUGGGCGGAGACACGCAGGAUCCAGCUUUGGGGGGCUGGAAGGCAAAGUGGGGAGCGUUCCCGGGGACAAAGGUUGGGGACACACAACCGUGUGAUGCUUGGCCAUGGGAAAUGCCACCGAAACGUCCCCGCGCCUGCCAGGCACCCGCGGCGUGCCCGCUGGCACUUGAGCGCUGCAAACUGCUCGCUGGAGUGCGUCCCGGGCGCUGGCGGUGACAGACGGGGACGUUAAACAAGCCGUGGGCUGAUGGCCAAAGCAACCAGCCCUGCUGGUCCCGCGGUGGCCAGGGGGGGGUUUAUCGCCCUCCCCGGGGUGCGGUGGGUACCGGAGCAUCACCCCGACUCGUGGGGUUGGGAACCACUCUGCCAGUGGAUAAAUAACACACAAUUGAAAAGGAAAAAAUAGGAUUCCAUCUUCCUGAAAAGAAAGGAAAGGGUAAAGACAAAAGAGGCCGUUUACCAACCGGCUGGCAGCCCGGGGAAAAUUGCUAUCAUGCAGGAGACUGAAAUCCAAAGGGUUUUGUCCUCGUUGGGAGAAAAGGGAAAGAAAGGCUGGGGAGGAGCGAGGAUGGGCGACAGCUCCGCAGAGGAAAAGCCACCCCCAGAGCAGCCACGGAGGGUUUUCCUCUUUCCGGAUGAACUUGAUGAAGUUACUGCUCAUCUCCUGGAGCAGGGAGAGGCAGCAGGGUGGCGGGAACGAGGUCAUUAAAGCAGAAAGAAAAAUACAUUAGAAAUGUUCAACUGCUCAGUCUAGCCUGAAAUGUGCUUAAAUCAGCUCCGAGUAAACAAUGAGAUGGGAUUAAU